rnacentral:rRNA from 1 species
GACGAACGCUGGCGGCGUGCUUAACACAUGCAAGUCGAACGGAAAGGCCCUGCUUUUGUGGGGUGCUCGAGUGGCGAACGGGUGAGUAACACGUGAGUAACCUGCCCUUGACUUUGGGAUAACUUCAGGAAACUGGGGCUAAUACCGGAUAGGAGCUCCUGCUGCGUGGUGGGGGUUGGAAAGUUUCGGCGGUUGGGGAUGGACUCGCGGCUUAUCAGCUUGUUGGUGGGGUAGUGGCUUACCAAGGCUUUGACGGGUAGCCGGCCUGAGAGGGUGACCGGCCACAUUGGGACUGAGAUACGGCCCAGACUCCUACGGGAGGCAGCAGUGGGGAAUAUUGCACAAUGGGCGGAAGCCUGAUGCAGCAACGCCGCGUGCGGGAGGACGGCCUUCGGGUUGUAAACCGCUUUCGCCUGUGACGAAGCGUGAGUGACGGUAAUGGGUAAAGAAGCACCGGCUAACUACGUGC